AAAAAAGGAUUUUAAAUUUCACAUCAAGUUAAUUAAAAGUCAUCUGAUGUUUCCACUGCAGUACUUCAGGGCCUUUCAGUCAUCCUGGAGAAUGACCCAGAGGAAUUUUACAGGAUGUGUUUCGAUGUGGAUGCAGACUUCAGUCAAGCAGUUGUAGACCUGCUCACAGUUCUACCAGAGGACAUGCCCUCAUUGUGGAUGCAAUAAAGGCAAUCAUGGAGGGAAGAAUUGUCAUGGAUGGGUUUGAAAGGCCUGUAUUUUAUUUUUGCUGUUCUGUUUGCAUGCCAUUCUGAAAAUGCUCUAUUGUUUAACAGUGUUCCAGUGGGUCCAGAUAAUGUUAUGACAACAAAGUGUUGUUUAGUCAAGAAGUCUGUAAAGAGUAUUAUAAGAACACAGAUGUUUUAAAAGCUAAUUUUUAUUAUUGUGAUAUUCUUAAAGUUUUUUACAAAAAUAAACUGUUGAGAAU